UACGUAGGGGCCUAGCGUUGUCCGGAUUUAUUGGGCGUAAAGAGCUCGUAGGCGGUUUGGUGAGUCGGGGUGUGAAAAUCUCCACGCUCAACGUGGAGGGGCCACCCGAUACUGCCAUACUAGAGUCCGGUAGGGGGAGUGUGGAAUUCCCGGUGUAGCGGUGAAAUGCGCAGAUAUCGGGGAGGAACACCAGUAGCGAAGGCGACACUCUGGGCCGGUACUGAC
rnacentral:rRNA from 1 species